AUGGGAAAUCUGGCGCGCUGUCCCGGCGCCAAAUCUAGCCUCACCCCCUUUCACUCGCUCAACCAUAGCCACUACCCCCUUUCUUCCCUACUGCCUCACCACCGGCGGCGGCUGCGUUUUCAGAUCUGCGCUAGAGGAGGCGGCGGCGGCGGAGGAAGAGGCGGCGGCGUUUGCGGCGGAUCUGGUGCUCCCCUUGCUAUUGGCCACCGUCUGGUCGACCUAGUCUGUGCCAUGGCUCCCCCUACGCCGUCCUCGUCUCCGAUGCUGGUUAUGGACACACGGAUGAGGUUGAUAAUCCAGGCAGCAGCACUGAUUAGUGUGAUUCAGGCAUGGGCCAUGUUCAUGCACCAGAGAGCUGUUCGUUGUGCUGGGAGACCUUUGAUCCGCUAUGGUCCAUUGUUUCUCCGGGAACAGGAGAGGAUCCAAAAUCUGAACUACAUCUACAACUGCAAUGACGUCGAGGCUCUGUGGAUGCUUCGAAUGAAAAAAGCACCAUUUGCCAGGCUUGUCGAGACCUUCAGGAGCAGGGGGCUGCUACAAGAUAGCAUCAACACCAGUGUCGAAGAGCAAGUGGCCAUGUUCCUCCAUGUUGUUGGCCAUAACCAAAGGUUCAGGGUCAUUCACAACAUGUUCAGGAGAUCAAUGGAGACCAUCUCUAGGUACUUCAAGCAGGUGCUUUUUGCUAUUGGGGAGCUUAGAGGAGAGAUGAUCAGGAGACCAUCUGGCCAGACUCCACCCAAGAUUCGCGGAAGCCCAAGAUGGUAUCCAUACUUCAAGGUGAGCAUUGACAAUAUACACUUUUCAAGGCUUGAUAUGCUUGUAUUGUUCAAGUUGAGCACUAACACAGGCUUGUGA
rnacentral:rRNA from 1 species